UUUUUUUUUUUUUUUUUUUUUAAAUCGCGCUAUAAGAUUCAGCGUGUCCAAAGUCCGCGGCAAGGAGUAGUUGGUUAAGUUUGCCAAAGUCCGGAGUUUUUCCGAGCCUGUAGCCUGCUCCUGCCAGAAGCCGCAAGUAUUGAAUCCUGUUGCUUUUUCUGGAACCUCCAGAAUAUUAUCGCUGGCUCACCUAAAUUAAGCCCCAGGCAAGAAAGGUGACAAGGUGUCUACCGACACCCAAAAAGGUCCAAUCCAGCAGCUUUUCUGUUUGAGCAAGGGGCCUUGUAGACCCGGCAACUUCAGGUGGGCAGCUCACGUUGGUCAGGUCGCUUUUCACCCUGAUCUUGCCCUAGCUUUGUGUUGCGUCUAAAACUUGGCUUUCAGAAGCUAUAUAUAAACAACCUCGGGCGGUUUAAAAAAAAAAAGAAUAAGAAGAAGAAGAAGAAAGAAAGAACCACCCUACAACUCUGGCAGGGAGCUGGAGGAAUUUAGAUUCUCUUCUUUGGUCUUCUCCUGAGGUGGGUUUUAAAAGGUACAGCUGAGAGCAAAAAGACUCUGUCAAGUUGUGUUUUUAAAAGGCUAAGAAGGCGGGACCCGAGCUGAAAAGGGAAGCUGCUCUCCUUUUUCUUUUUUCUUUUUUUCAAUUUAGCUGAAUAAUUGUCUCAUUUAGGAGGGAGAUUAAUUUAAUUUAAGCUUUUCGUAGUUCCAGGCCUCAGCUGGAUCUUGAUCUAAUUACAAUGAAUAGCGCUCACUUUUUGACAAGUGCUGUCCGGUUCCCCUUUUCAUGCUAAAAAGACCAUCCACAUUAAAAAAAAAAAUCAUAGAAGUAGAAUUUGCUGCUGACUCUGUCUGUAGAAUUGCCACCUUUACCACUGUUGUGAAAGCAACUUUUUAAAGGGGUAGAGGUGGGGUUGAGAGUCUGAAGGGGAGCCAGGCACUCGGGUUUUCCUUCCCUUCCAAGUAUUGGGGAAUCCGUCCCAAUUCCUUUAGAAAAACAAAUUUAGCUGGUGUUGUCUUCUGUUUACCCUGAGAGGGACCUAUCUGGGCUCAGCCCUAAGGUCACUUUCAGAGAACAGAGAGAAAUCAAACUUAUUGUAGUCAAGGAAAGGGCCAGUUAAGGUAGAUCUCCCUGCCAGCCUAGCUAAAGGGACUGUGGCUUCCUUGAGGGAAGAAAUUGGGUCUUUUCUGAGCUUUGUUGCUGUGGUUGUUGUUGUUGUUAUUGUUGUGGUUGUGGUUGUUCUUCUUCGUCUUAGUCUACCAGGGAAUCCCAGUUUAUCAAGACACUAAAUAACUGAUUUUUAAAAUGGUCUUCAGGAGUUGACGUGGUCCCGUCUUGAGCUACCACAUGGAAAUGUUUAUUUUUCUUUUCAAAAGAAUUAAAGACCUUACACAUUGCCUUUACAAGCCACGAAAAAUAAUUUUUUCCUUUUAACAAAAAUAAUCACUGCCGUAGAGAUUCCCCUUUACAAAUGAUUUUGGAAAGACCUCAGUGUGUUUCCCUGAGUGACAGCCAGGAGCCAUGACAAAGGUCACGGUGGACAGGGAAGUUGAAAAAUCAGACCUCUGGAUUAAUAUCUGUCACCACCUAUGCUGUCCCACAGAGGGACGGCUGCUUCAAGGAGCUCACCAGUCAGUAGAUAGAAUUUGCGGAGGGAAAGGAGAUUUAAAGGCUGGGUUUAAGAGGAAGCUGGACUUGGAAACAGACCAUCUUCCUUGCUGUAUUUUCUAUGGGCCCUGGCCCCUCUGUGUGCCAGCUCCUACCAAACACACAGAAGCAGUUUCUACCAACAGUCUUUACAUUUACAUGUGAAUUAAGAUUCCGGAAUCUCUUUAGGGGUUAACCCUGCAGGACUUAUCCUAUUCCCUGCUGCCGCCACCACCCCCAGAUAAAAAUCGGAUGAUGUGAAGCCCUGUUCAGAUCACUUGUAGAAGAGCAUCUCCCGGAACCUUCCGGAAUCUUGUUAAGUCCUCCGCUUUAAUCUUCAGAAUUAUCAGGAGACUUACAAUCAUGAAGUCCCUUGAAAAUUGAUUAAAAUUAUGCUAAUUAGUCCUCCCAUCCUCCACCCCUCUUUCCACCUAUAGACUGUUUAUCUCAGCAUAGAAGAAACACUUAAUUUCACUGCCGAGAAACUGGGAAAUCUGCUCCAUACUACACAAUAUUUGCAGAUACCGUCUACAAAGUUGUCUAGGUGACUUGCAGUAGAUUUUAUAAUACUGUAAUAAAAGAAUUUGUUUAGCCCCUGGUACACCAGAGCACAAAAAUAUAAACAUACCUUUAUCAGGGAAGUUCAAAGACCAUGGGUGCUGAUGGAAUAUGCUUUCCAAUAAAUAAAUAAAUAAAUAAAUAAAUAAAUAAAAUUCUGGCCGGAAGACCAUGAUCCCUAGCUAUGUGUUAAAUGUCAUCUCAGAUAAAUUCUACGUUCCAUUCCACAGCCUCUUUGAAACUCUGGAAGAUUAGAGAAUUUGCAGUAACUAAGUUGUUGCUUUAAUUUCAACCUGUAAAAUUGUUGGAAAAUGCCAGUUUCAAACUAAGAAUAGGCUAGCCAAGAACAGUGCUGGGAAGUCCUCAGAGCAGAGAAGACAGCUGACAUUUGGCCCAACUUCCUGAUACUUGAAGAACAGAGAAGUUCAACAAAAUAUGAGCUAUCUUGGGCCAGCAAGUCCCUUCUUGUCUGUUUGGUCUGUACUAAAUGUAAAUGUUUCUCUUGCCUUACCUAUUGUUUAUAGCUUUUUACUGCAGACACUGCUUUGUAUUUCUGUUUGAAGUUUGAUUUCUUUUCAUUAUUUCUAUAUCAUCUCUCAGUGACAAAAAUCUAUAUCAAAUUGGAAGACAUCUUAGCUUUAAAUAAAACAACAACAGUGCUAGUAACCUAGCCUAGGUGUGCUUGUCAUUGUUUUAAGUACAGAGUUAAAUGUCCCUGGAUUUAAUUUUGUCUCCUUCCCUUCUCCAUCAAAACUCUUUGGAGAUAAAUCAAAAAGCCCAAGAAGUAGUAACCGAGCCACUGGAUGCCCCCUUCCUGCUUCCUUUAGAAAUGGGGGUGAUGCAAUUUAAACUCCUAAUUUUUAGACUUUUGAAUUCCAACAUCAACAAGCUUUUCUUGGCCACCAUGGUCCUCUUGUGCUGUAGACGAGGGGGCCUCAUGGGUUUGACCUCUUGGUAAUGAGGGAUCCCUGGAACAACCAUGGUAAACUGAGGCACGGUGGGGCACAGUGGGAAUUCAUGACUUGGCGUGCCUUUGGGCGCUCUGGAACAGGAUUUAUUCAUUUUGGCCUCUUAGGAGAUAUGGGCCCCAACAGUCAGGCAUUCAGACUGGAAGCCCGGAUGUCGAUUCAGUGCCCUCGGAGCCCAGUGGGUGUUGAGAUGAACUGGAAAGGCCUAGGUCUCCACAGGGAGAUGAAGGCAAGGAAGUGAAGCAUUUUCACAGAGGGUAUCUCAUCCUUGUGAGCAAACUGUGCAGAGGGAAAUGAAAACAUUGAUGAGAGAGAUGGGGGGAAAAAUAGACAGAAAACAGAAUUUACAGGAGUAACAUUUUGUAGGAAU
rnacentral:lncRNA from 1 species